UCAUUCAUUCAAACCGGUUCA
rnacentral:piRNA from 1 species